GAUCACAACCCUUCCUUUACAGUCCAAAUUCCUGUCCCAACUGAAUCGGUUCUCUGAUGAUCUCCUAAAAGUGUGUACCAAAAGGGUGGAGUGUUUAGAAAAAGGAUUCAGGAUGUGAUGGUGCCAAUGUCUCAGAAUGCCACCAUAAAGACCAAGCGAGAGUGCAUUCUCAAGGGGCUAUGCAUCUACCUGAAUGAAGAUCCACAGGAUCUGGUGAGGGAGUAUUUGGAUGUUGACCCUGCGAGCACUGAAGCAGACAUCAAGAAGACCGUUUUUGGGGAUCUGUGUUGUAAAGCAUGAAUUUGCUGAUGCAACAGAAGACCUGAAGAUAUCAGCAUUGUGCUGGAAGGUGUGGAGGUGCUCUCUGGUUUAGGUAAUGUAGUAUUGGCUACAGCCAUGCUACUUGGACUAAUAUACUUUUUAAAUCUUACUUAUCCACAGGAGUUCCAUUACACUUUUAAGGUGCUCCAAAAAAUGAUUCUGGAGCUGGACUCACAUAAACUGUCUGCCAAAGCACAGGCACUGAAAAUAAAACUCUUCACUUAGAAGGUGUGAGCAGUGCUGUGUUCGAGGAUCCCUUUGUGAACGCUGUGUUUUAUUUUCUUGUAUGCUUGUGUUCUUGUUGUAUCGCAUUUUUGCACUGUGAGCAGAGGUGAUUAAGUCUCUCAAUCUCUCAUUUAAUUGGCUCACUCAUUUAAUCUCAUGUU